rnacentral:rRNA from 1 species
AAGACCUUGCACUUUUGGAGCGGCCGAUGUCUGAUUAGCUAGUUGGUGGGGUAAUGGCCUACCAAAGCUUCGAUCAGUAGCUGGUCUGAGAGGACGGCCAGCCACACUGGGACUGAGACACGGCCCAGACUCCUACGGGAGGCAGCAGUGGGGAAUUUUGGACAAUGGGCGCAAGCCUGAUUCAGCCAUGCCGCGUGAGUGAAGAAGGCCUUCGGGUUGUAAAGCUCUUUCAGCCGGGAAGAAAAGGUUGCGAUUAAUAAUCGCAAUUUAUGACGGUACCGGAAGAAGAAGCACCGGCUAACUACGUGCCAGCAGCCGCGGUAAUACGUAGGGUGCGAGCGUUAAUCGGAAUUACUGGGCGUAAAGGGUGCGCAGGCGGUUUUGUAAGUCAGAUGUGAAAUCCCCGGGCUUAACCUGGGAACU